rnacentral:rRNA from 1 species
GAUUGAAACGACUGCUAAGACUGGAUAGGAAACAAAAAGGCAUCUUUUUGUUUUUAAAAGACCUUCUUACGAAGGUAUGCUUAAAGAGGGGCUUGCGCCACAUUAGUUAGUUGGUAGGGUAAAAGCCUACCAAGACGAUGAUGUGUAGCUGGACUGAGAGGUUGAACAGCCACAUUGGGACUGAGACACGGCCCAAACUCCUACGGGAGGCAGCAGUAGGGAAUUUUCGGCAAUGGAGGAAACUCUGACCGAGCAACGCCGCGUGAACGAUGAAGUAUUUCGGUAUGUAAAGUUCUUUUAUUGAAGAAGAAAAAGUAGUGGAAAAACUAUAUUGACGUUAUUCAAUGAAUAAGCCCCGGCUAACUAUGUGCCAGCAGCCGCGGUAAGACAUAGGGGGCGAGCGUUAUCCGGAAUUAUUGGGCGUAAAGGGUGCGUAGGCUGUUAGAUAAGUCUAUAAUUUAAUUUCAGUGCUUAACGCUGUCUUGUUAUAGAAACUGUCUUGACUAGGGUGAGAUAGAGGCAAGCGGAAUUCCAUGUGUAGCGGUAAAAUGUGUAAAUAUAUGGAGGAACACCAGAAGCGUAGGCGGCUUGCUGGGUCUUUACUGACGCUGAGGCACGAAAGCGUGGGUAGCAAACAGGAUUAGAUACCCUGGUAGUCCACGCCGUAAACGAUGAGUACUAAGUGUCGGGGUAAAACUCGGUACUGAAGUUAACACAUUAAGUACUCCGCCUGAGUAGUACGUACGCAAGUAUGAAACUUAAAGGAAUUGACGGGACUCCGCACAAGCGGUGGAUCAUGUUGUUUAAUUCGAAGAUACACGAAAAAUCUUACCAGGUCUUGACAUACUCUGCAAAGUUAUAGAAAUAUAGUGGAGGUUAUCAGGGAUACAGGUGGUGCAUGGUUGUCGUCAGUUCGUGUCGUGAGAUGUUAGGUUAAGUCCUAAAACGAGCGCAACCCUUGUCGUUAAUUGCCAGCACGUAAUGGUGGGGACUUUAGCGAGACUGCCAAUUAAACAUUGGAGGAAGGUGAGGAUUACGUCAAAUCAUCAUGCCCCUUAUGAUCUGGGCCACAAACGUGAUACAAUGGCUGUGACAAAGAGUAGCUGAAACGCGAGUUUUUAGCCAAUCUCAAAAAAGCAGUCUCAGUUCGGAUUGAAGUCUGUAACUCGACUUCAUGAAGUUGGAAUCGCUAGUAAUCGCGAAUCAGCAUGUCGCGGUGAAUACGUUCUCGGGGUUUGUACACACCGCCCGUCAAAUC